GGAGCUGAUGGAUUGACUCUUUAGAGAACCCUUUGGGAGGUUUGUGUGUGUUGGAGCUGAACAAAGUGUACUAGCCGUAUGUUGUAUGGAAUAGACGGCUAGUGAUCGAGCAUGUAGUGUCCUGUGCUAGUUGCAUUGUUGCAUUUUAUGCAAUGAGUUUGAGCAACGUGAGAUAACAAGUUGAUUGAUGGGUUCGGUAUGAUGUCCUCG
rnacentral:lncRNA from 1 species